rnacentral:lncRNA from 1 species
CAAGGAGUUGUAUUGGUAUGAGGUUUGCACUAAUGGAGGCUAAAGCAUGUUUAGUGAGUAUAUUGAGGAAGUAUAGGUUUGAAAGAUCACCUGAUACUCAGGUGCCAUUGCAGCGGAAAUUUAGCCUCACACAAUCUCCAAAGAAUGGGAUAUAUUUGAAACUUAUCAAAGUUUAGAAGAGUUACAUCCUAUCCCAUAUAAUCAUAAAAAAUUGCUUGUUAACAGUUAUAAUAACUAUAGUUUUAAUGAGUUUUUUUAGCUUUUCUAAUGCACCUAUUAUUUGCUGCAAACAAUAAUUAAUUUGAUCUAAAAGAAUUUUAAGAAUUCAUAGAUUAAUGGGUGUGUCUAAAUCUAUCAGUGAAUCAGUGAAAUUCUUAAUAAUGUGGAUCAUUCUUUUUUCUCUUGCUUCUCUGCUUCUACUCUAUUGCUGGUACUUUUUUUGUUAUGCUCCUUACCGAGUUCUCAAGAGACUUGGUAUCACUCAUCCUCCAGUGAGGCCUUUCAUGGGAAAUGCAUUACAAGUAUUGAAACUGGGGUAUAAUGAUCUUCUGACCAAAUGGAUCAAUGAGAACGGAAAAGUAUUUGGGUAAGCUAGUAUCA